AUGGCACACACCUGUAGUCCCAGCUACCAGGGAGGCUGAGGCAGGAGAAUCAUUUGAACCCUGGAGGUGGAGGUGGCACAUGUGCACUGAGUGGAAGCCACCUAGAAACAUAAUCCUAAAAAACAUGUGUUGGUGACCCAUAUCGAUAAACUUUUAAUUUAAGAUAUGAUAAUGCCAAUUUUAAAACUAAAUUCGAAGCAUCAUUUUGAUACAGACAGGAGGCAGGAAAAUACUGGGUAGAAGAGGGCGGCGUCCCUGGCGAGGGCUCCACCCUCAAGCCUGGACCCGAGGUCCUAAAUGAGAACAGUUAUCCCUGUUUUCCCGCCUAAAUGUUACUUUUUUGGCUCACCCUGCCCACCUGUCCUGUACCCAUAUAAACCCCAGACCUCAGCUGGCAAAGAGACAAGCAGCUGAAUGUCGAGAAGAGAAGAAGCAACUGAGCAUCGGAGACUACAGAUAGAUGCGGCUUAACUUCCGAUGACACGACUUCGGAAAGAAGCCCAGCGCAGACGGCCAGGCUUCGGGGAAAGAUCACCUUCUUCCCGCACCAUCCGCUCGUCAUCUUCCCUUCCACUGACAGCCACUUCCACCUCUUAAUAAAAUAUCCGCAUUCACCAUCCUUUAAGUCCAUGUGACCUGAAUCUUCCUGGAUGUCGGACAAGAACCCGGGUACCACGAGGGCAGAGUUUAAAAGGCUGUCACCCCGAAUCUCCACUGAGCUGAUGAACCCUUAGCUGUCCACGGAUGGCAACUGCUAAAAGAACAUUAAUUGUGACACUCGCCUAGACGUUAUCAGGGGGCCGGAGCCCAGAAGUGCUCGCCCCGGACCCGGCACCCGCUCGCCUGUGUGCUCCCCUUCCUGCAAGGGGUUUGAGCGUGGUGGUGGCAGAGUAAGCGAGCUGCACCCCUGUCGCAAGUCCUGCGAAGGUGUCAAAGGAACUCUCCCGUCUCAAUUUCAAAGUACUGUUUACCUUGGGAGUAUUUUAAAAUUCUUAUCUCUCUGAUUCCAGUUCCCAUUUGACUUUUGUCCACUGCAUUUGUUUUGUCUUGUUUUGUUUUGUUUGACACAGAAUCUGGCUCUGUUGCCCAGGCUGGAGUGCAAUGGUGCUAUCUCUGCAUACUGCAACCUCCGCCUCCCAGGAUCAAACGAUUCUCCUGCCUUAGCUUCCUGAGUAACUGGCAGGCACCCACCACCAUGCCUGGUUAAUUUUUGUAUUUUUAGUAGAGACAGGGUUUCACCAUGUUGGCCAGGCUGGUUUUGAACUCCUGACCUCAAAUGAUCCACCGGCCUCAGCCUCCCAAAGUGCUGGGAUUACGGGCAUGAGCCACUACACCUGGCCUGUCCAUUGCAUGUUUACUUUCACAACAAAGUCUAUCUAAAAUAGUAGCUCAAUUCAUCUUUUAGCAGCACAUGUGUCUUUGUAAAAUAUGUAGGCCAUGUGUAAGACACCUUAAAAAUAUGUCUCCAAAAGUAAGUUGAAGCUAUAAAACUUCAAAAGGUAGCUUUCAACCUUUACUUGCCAUGUUAAUUUAACAAGCAAUUAUUGAGCAAUUAGUUAGGCAGUAUUUCCAAAGAAAUGCAAAGUGUGACAUCUGCUCUCACAAAAAUUUUAAUUCAGUGGAGGAGAUAAAGCAUAAAUGCAGGAAAGAGUUAAACAAUAAUAUGUAGUAUAUGCUUACGAUGUUCAAAGUAGAGAGAAGAGUGGAUUGUAGACAUUGUGGAAAGUAAACUGAAACUUAAAUUUGGUCAUAAAGGAAAGAGUAGACAUUCAGGAAGAAAGGAAUCAUGGUGGAAAAUCACUACCUGGCAAAUAAAGUAUGUACAUAAAAUUCAGGAUUCAGGGCCAGGUGCAGUGGCUCAUGCCUGUAAUCCCAGCACUUUGGGAGGCCGAGAGGGGUGGAUUGCCUGAGCUCAGGAGUUUGCGACCAGCCUGGGCAACACGGUGUAACCCUGUUUCUACUAAAAUACAAAAAAUUAGCUGGGCAUGGUGGCGUGUGCCUGUAGUCCCAGCUACUUGGGAGACUGAGGCCAGAGAAUUGCUUGAACCCGGGAGGCGGAGGUUGCAGUGAGCCAAGAUCACGCCACUGCACUCCAGCCUGGGCAACAGAGUGAGACUCUGUCUCAAAAAAAAAAAAAAAAAAAAAUUCAGGAUUCAAUGGAGAAAGCAACUGAGAGUGUGGAAGGAAAGGUGCCAUGCUUUAGCCCUGCAUGCCAUUCUCCUUCUCAUUGUUCCGCAUGUGGACAGCUUGACAGUGGAGGACACUUGCAACCUGAGACAUUCACAAGGUGAAUUCACAAGGAGCAAGGACAGGUGAUGAGGAAUUUUGCCACACUGCCUUACACCCGCCAUGUGAUAUGUCUUGGUGGAUGUGCACACGUGCUCUUCAGAAGGUUGUGCAUUUUGGAUUUGUUGUAUUUAUUGUCACAUAGGAGGAAGAUUAUUCAAGCAGACUGAGUUGGUAGGUAAUAUUAUCUGUAUCUAUAUCCACACCAAUUUUUAGUGUAUUGUCCUAUCAAUUACUGAGAGGGGAGUGCUAAAAUCUCUAACUUUAUUUGUGGAUUUGUUUAUAUCAAAAGUAUUUCUGUUAGUUGUUGCUUCAUUUAUUUUGAUACUCUAUUAAAAGGUACCAACACAUUUAGGACAGCCAUGUCUUCUUGAUGAACUGACCAUUUUAGCAUUAUAAAAUGCCUCUUAUUUCUGGUAAUACUUUGUCUUUAAGUUCACUUUGCUGGAUAUUAAUAGAACCAUUUCAGAUUUUUCAUGAGUGUUUUUAUGGUAUGGGUUUCCAUUUAAUAAAAAUUCUAGCUAAUAUUUUUAUGGUUAAAUCAUGAUAUUCAUUGGCCUCAAACAUAAUUCUCAUUUGAAGAUAAAGAGCAACUACACCGUUAGUCGUCUUCAAUUAGUUCAACUAAACUAAGUUGUUUGUAGACUGCAUUUUCAGAGAAUGUGGUUUGUUAUUCUCAAGCCAGUUCCUGUCAGGGUAUUUUUUUUAUAUAGUAGUUCAUUUAGUGUCAAUGACAAAUAAAUUGCUUGUUGCCUCAGAGUUAUAUGGUGAGUACAUGUUUGUAUAUGGGUUCUCUCUUUUCCUUACUUUAAGCAAACUGAGGUGAUUUUUUUUCCUGUGUAGUUUGAUCUAGCACGUGGUUCAAUACGUGU
rnacentral:lncRNA from 1 species